rnacentral:rRNA from 1 species
GACGAACGCUGGCGGCGUGCCUAAUACAUGCAAGUCGAGCGCAGGAAGCUGACGGAGCUCUUCGGAGGGAAGGCAGUGGAAUGAGCGGCGGACGGGUGAGUAACACGUAAGGAACCUGCCUCAAGGAUUGGGAUAACUCCGAGAAAUCGGAGCUAAUACCGGAUAGUUCAUCGGACCGCAUGGUCCGUUGUUGAAAGGCGCUUCGGCGUACCCUUGAGAUGGCCUUGCGGUGCAUUAGCUAGUUGGUGGGGUAACGGCCCACCAAGGCGACGAUGCAUAGCCGACCUGAGAGGGUGAUCGGCCACACUGGGACUGAGACACGGCCCAGACUCCUACGGGAGGCAGCAGUAGGGAAUCUUCCACAAUGGACGAAAGUCUGAUGGAGCAACGCCGCGUGAGUGAUGAAGGUUUUCGGAUCGUAAAACUCUGUUGUAAGGGAAGAACACGUACGAGAGGGAAUGCUCGUACCUUGACGGUACCUUACGAGAAAGCCACGGCUAACUACGUGCCAGCCGCCGCGGUAA